UACGGGGGGGGCAAGCGUUGUUCGGAAUUACUGGGCGUAAAGGGCUCGUAGGUGGCCAACUAAGUCAGACGUGAAAUCCCUCGGCUUAACCGGGGAACUGCGUCUGAUACUGGAUGGCUUGAGUUCGGGAGAGGGAUGCGGAAUUCCAGGUGUAGCGGUGAAGUGCGUAGAUAUCUGGAGGAACACCGGUGGCGAAGGCGGCAUCCUGGACCGACACUGACGCUGAGGAGCGAAAGCCAGGGGAGCAAACGGG
rnacentral:rRNA from 1 species